GACGAACGCUGGCGGCGUGCCUAAUACAUGCAAGUCGAACGCAGUGGGGACGGGUGAGUAACACGUGGGUAACCUCCCAUCAGAGGGGAUAACACUUGGAAACAGGUGCUAAACCGAUACUGGUGGAUGGACCCGCGGUGCAUUAGCUAGUUGGUGAGGUAACGGCUCACCAAGGCCACGCGGCAUAGCGGACCUGAGGGGUGAAUCGUCCAAAUUGGAACUGGGACAGGGCCCAGAUCCCAAGGGGAGGCAGAAGUGGGAAUUCUGCGGAAAUGGACGAAGGUCUGACCGGGCAACGCCGGGUGAGGGAGAAAGGUUUCCGGAUGGUAAAACUCUGUUGUUAGAGAAGGGGUAUCUAACCAGAAGGCCACGGCUAACUACGUGCCAGCAGCCGGGGUAUUC
rnacentral:rRNA from 1 species